rnacentral:ncRNA from 1 species
GAGCUUGGUGAUGGCUCUGAUUGAACACUGUCCAAAUGCUUGACACAUGCUAAUCGAACGUUUAAUUCAAUAUAUUUAAUAUCUAAAAAAAGAAGUUAUAUUUUUUUAUUAAAAGUGGUGAACAGGUGAGUAAUAAAAAAUAUUUACAACCUACCUUAAAGUUAGGGAAAAUCCCUUAUAUUAAUAAAAGUUGUUUUGUUUAAUUUAUUUAUUUAUUUUAGUUUAGUAACUUUCUGCUUACUAAUUUAAAUAAAUAAGGCUUAAACAAGCCUUAUAAGAUGUUAUAUUCUUAUAUAAGUUCUGCUUUAAGAUGAAUCGUAAAAAAUUCGGGAUAGGUAGUAGUUAAGGUAAUGGCUUAACUAGCUUAUAAUUCGCGUAGUCGAAACUGAGAGGUUGAUCGACCACAUUGGGGAUGAGAAAAUCCCAAUGCAAGUACGUACAGCAGUGAGGAAUCUUGGUCAAUGGCCUAGCGGCUGAACUGGCAAUUUGGAAGAACGGAAAGAGUACGCUCUUAUAAUCUAAUCACGAAUAAAGUUCUAAGUAUAUAAUUGAUAAUGACAAUAUAUAUAUUAUGUCUUGGCUAAUUGCGUGCCAGCAGUCGCGGUAAUACGUAAGAGACUAGUGUUAUUC